AUGGACCAUUCCAUCCCUUUUUCCCGUGCAUAUGCAUCGGACUCGGAUGACGAUGGUCCCGAUGAACAAGUUGAUGCGGAGGGGUUCACGGUGAAGGAUGCCGAAGCUUUCGAGAAGGUAUUCGGUCGGGAUCAUUGGACUACAUUGUUCAAGGAUGUUAGUCUCGCGGAUGAAGCCGUGGUAGAUGGUGGCCAAUGUGUAUCUCUUGGGGUUAGGCCAAGCUCUCAC
rnacentral:rRNA from 1 species